rnacentral:rRNA from 1 species
CGUAACAAGGUUUCCGUAGGUGAACCUGCGGAAGGAUCAUUACCUAGAGUUGUAGGCUUUGCCUGCUAUCUCUUACCCAUGUCUUUUGAGUACCUUCGUUUCCUCGGCGGGUCCGCCCGCCGAUUGGACAAUUUAAACCAUUUGCAGUUGCAAUCAGCGUCUGAAAAAACUUUAAUAGUUACAACUUUCAACAACGGAUCUCUUGGUUCUGGCAUCGAUGAAGAACGCAGCGAAAUGCGAUAAGUAGUGUGAAUUGCAGAAUUCAGUGAAUCAUCGAAUCUUUGAACGCACAUUGCGCCCCUUGGUAUUCCAUGGGGCAUGCCUGUUCGAGCGUCAUUUGUACCUUCAAGCUCUGCUUGGUGUUGGGUGUUUGUCUCGCCUCUGCGCGUAGACUCGCCUCAAAACAAUUGGCAGCCGGCGUAUUGAUUUCGGAGCGCAGUACAUCUCGCGCUUUGCAUUCAGAACGACGACGUCCAAAAGUACAUUUUUACACUCUUGACCUCGGAUCAGGUAGGGAUACCCGCUGAACUUAAGCAUAUCAAUAGGCAGGAGGAAA